UCCCAAGUUACGUUGUAUGUAGCGUGAGGAAUUGUGAGUGAUAAACUGAUAACUAGCAUGACACACGUGUUAAAUUUUGAUGAACUAUGUUUUCUUUAAAUUCUCUUGUACUUGUGAACAAAGUUUUCUUUUAUUUGUUUUUGUGUUUUUUCUUGUCUUACAGGGUAAUCAAGCAAGGUUAUGGUGUGUUAAUACAUGACAUAUAUCAAUUUUGUCCUAAAAUUAUAAAAUGAGUCCUUAAAAUAGUAAUAUUAAUCUUAAAGUAGUUGUAACACGAGUUCUUAAAGUUAUAAAUGUUCAAUUACAUCAUUAGUCCUCAAGUGAUAAAAUGNNNNNNNNNNNNNNNNNNNNAAAGAAUUUCGUCGGCUAAAGUUCUUUAUAUAGGCGAAGAUGGAUGGUAAGAAGUCUAUUAUCUGCCAGAUUUUCUUCUCGGCCUAGCUCCGCCGUCAAGCCACCGGAGACCGUCACACUUGUCCCAAAAGCUUCGCCGUCGUCUCUACUACAUUGCUGGAUAGGUGGUGCAUCGAGUGGCGCCGCCGUGAGGGAUAAAUCGAGCUCCAAAACUCUGCCGGUUCGGAUUCGGUGUCGAUCAAAUUUCUCAUUCCUUAGGUCACCAUUUGGUGAGUUCUAUAUAUGGAUAAGUUGAGUUUGAUUAGUACUACAUUCCCCUAGAAUUUGGUAGCUCGAUUCGGUGUGUGUGAAGAGAAUCGAAGAUUUGAAGUUUUGAAGUUUUUAGGGUUUAAAAUUGGGGAUUUUUAUAUUUUCAGUCGAUUGACCUGUUUAGGCUUAGAAUUGAGAUUCGACUUCUUCUACAAAGUUGUUCGAAAUGUUGAGAGGAAGAUUCUGUCAAAUUUUAGUCGUGAUUGGAGGUGGCCGAAAGUUUCUGCAGUUUUUUUUUCAAAACCCAGAAACUUUAGCCGACGAUAUUUAAACACUAUAUUCGUCGGCUAUAGUAUUUUAAAAUUUUUUUUUAUAAGGUUUAGCCGAUGAAUUAUGCCAUAAUUCGUCGGCUAUAGUUAUUUUUUUAAAAUUUUUAUAAGGUUUAGCCGACGAAAUAUUUUAUAUUUCGUCGGCUAUAGUUAUUUUUUUAAAUUUUUAUAAGGUUUAGCCGACGAAAUAUAGUAAAUUUCGUCGGCUAUAGUUAUUUUUAAUUAUUUAUUACACACUUUAGCCGACGAAUAUAUUAAUUGUUUCGUCGGCUAAAGUCUGGGAAAAAAACCGACGACAUGUUUUUCGUCGGCUAACUGUGGGACUAUAGCCGACGAAAAAAAAAUUUCGUCGGCUAAAGUCAUCACAGACGACCUUUUCCCGAUGACACUAUAGCCGACGAGCCUUCGUCGGCUAAGAUCUUAGCCGACGAAUUAAGAUAACAGGCCGACGAAAAUGCUUGUCCUGGUAGUGUGUGCUUAAAGUACUUUAAGGACUCAUGUAGUAAGUAAUAAUAUUUACAACUUUGUGGACUCAUAUUACCAUUUUGAGAACUCAUUUACCACUAAUAUUACUACUUUCACGACUCAAUUUACAACUUUAUGACAAAGUUGAUACAUGUCAUGCAUCAACACAUUGUAGAAUUUUCCCAGUGUAAUCUUUUUAUUAUGUGAUUGUAAAUGGUAAUUUUAGGCGAUCAACAAUUAAGUGAAGUUUUUUGGCCUAUUUCUAUGAUCAAGAAUCUAAUUAUUCCAUUAUGCCUAAAAAAAUACCAUUUCAUGAGAAACACCGGGAAAUGCAAACCAAAACCUAGGGUUAGAAUCCAGCUGUGGUUUGAGAGAACAGUUGAUAACGUAUUUCUUGGGCUAACCAAAAUCAUCCUAGCUAAUAUGGAUGGUUCAGAGUAUUAGCUUC
rnacentral:lncRNA from 1 species